rnacentral:rRNA from 1 species
UGCCAGCAGCCGCGGUAAGACGGAGGGCGCAAGCGUUGUUCGGAAUUACUGGGCGUAAAGCGCACGCAGGCGGUCUUUUAAGUCCACUGUGAAACUCCGGGGCUCAACCCCGGACAUGCAGCGGAAACUGGAAGACUAGAGAUCGGUAGAGGCUAAUGGAAUUCCUGGUGUAGCGGUGGAAUGCGUAGAUAUCAGGAAGAACACCGGUGGCGAAGGCGGUUAGCUGGGCCGAAUCUGACGCUCAUGUGCGAAAGCGUGGGGAGCAAACAGGAUUAGAUA